rnacentral:misc_RNA from 1 species
AGCAGCCGCGGUAAUUCCAGCUCCAAUAGCGUAUAUUAAAGUUGUUGCAGUUAAAAAGCUCGUAGUUGAAUUUCGGGGUUAGUAGGUUGGUCAUGCCUCUGGUAUGUACUGGUCUCACUGAUUCCUCCUUCCUGAUGAACCUUAAUGCCAUUAAUUUGGUGUUGCGGGGGAAUUUG